rnacentral:misc_RNA from 1 species
UCGAGUUUAACAACUCCCAAACCUUUGUGAACAUACCACUGUUGCUUCGGCGGUCGCACCAGGUGUCUCCCGGCAUCUGGAUAUCCGUGGCCGCCGAGGGUAUCAAACUCUUGUCUUUACAGCGGACUUCUGAGUACAAAACAAAAAUAAAUCA